rnacentral:rRNA from 1 species
UACGUAGGGACCAAGCGUUGUUCGGAUUUACUGGGCGUAAAGGGCGCGUAGGCGGCAAUUCAAGUCAUCUGUGAAAUCUCCGGGCUUAACUCGGAACGGUCAAGUGAUACUGUCGGACUAGAGUACAGAAGGGGCAACUGGAAUUCUCGAUGUAGCGGUGAAAUGCGUAGAUAUCGAGAGGAACACCUGCGGCGAAGGCGGGUUGCUGGGCUGAUACUGACGCUGAGGCGCGAAAGCCAGGGGAGCGAACGGG